rnacentral:rRNA from 1 species
GACGAACGCUGGCGGCGCGCCUAACACAUGCAAGUCGAACGGAGCGUGCCGACUGAAGCCCUUCGGGGUGGACGAUGGCAUUGCUUAGUGGCGAACGGGUGAGUAACACGUGAGCAACCUGCCCUAGAGUGGGGGACAACAUCUGGAAACGGAUGCUAAUACCGCAUAAGACCACGGCACCACAUGGUGCUGAGGCCAAAGGAUUUAUUCGCUUUAGGAUGGGCUCGCGCCUGAUUAGCUAGAUGGUAGGGUAAUGGCCUACCAUGGCAACGAUCAGUAGCCGGACUGAGAGGUCGAUCGGCCACAUUGGGACUGAGAUACGGCCCAGACUCCUACGGGAGGCAGCAGUGGGGAAUAUUGGGCAAUGGGCGAAAGCCUGACCCAGCGACGCCGCGUGAGGGAAGAAGGUUUUCGGAUUGUAAACCUCUGUCUUCGGGGAAGAUAAUGACGGUACCCGAAGAGGAAGCCACGGCUAACUACGUGCCAGCCGCCGCAGUAACAC